AAUGGACGAAAGUCUGACGGAGCAACGCCGCGUGAGUGAUGACGGCCUUCGGGUUGUAAAGCUCUGUUAAUCGGGACGAAAGGCCUUCUUGCGAAUAGUUAGAAGGAUUGACGGUACCGGAAUAGAAAGCCACGGCUAACUACGUGCCAGCAGCCGCGGUAAUACGUAGGUGGCAAGCGUUGUCCGGAAUUAUUGGGCGUAAAGCGCGCGCAGGCGGAUUGGUCAGUCUGUCUUAAAAGUUCGGGGCUUAACCCCGUGAUGGGAUGGAAACUGCCAAUCUAGAGUAUCGGAGAGGAAAGUGGAAUUCCUAGUGUAGCGGUGAAAUGCGUAGAUCUUAGGAAGAACACCAGUGGCGAAGGCGACUUUCUGGACGAAAACUGACGCUGAGGCGCGAAAGCCAGGGGAGCGAACGGGAUUAGAUACCCCGGUAGUCCUGGCCGUAAACGAUGGGUACUAGGUGUAGGAGGUAUCGACCCCUUCUGUGCCGGAGUUAACGCAAUAAGUACCCCGCCUGGGGAGUACGACCGCAAGGUUGAAACUCAAAGGAAUUGACGGGGGCCCGCACAAGCGGUGGAGUAUGUGGUUUAAUUCGACGCAACGCGAAGAACCUUACCAGGUCU
rnacentral:rRNA from 1 species